UACGGAGGGGACUAGCGUUGUUCGGAAUUACUGGGCGUAAAGCGCACGUAGGCGGAUUUGUAAGUCAGGGUGAAAUCCCGGGGCUCAACCCCGGAACUGCCCUUGAAACUGGAGAGCUAGAAUCUUGGAGAGGCGAGUGGAAUUCCGAGUGUAGAGGUGAAAUUCGUAGAUAUUCGGAAGAACACCAGUGGCGAAGGCGACUCGCUGGACAAGUAUUGACGCUGAGGUGCGAAAGCGUGGGAGCAACAGG
rnacentral:rRNA from 1 species